ACGGCGAGUGAAGCGGGAUGAGCUCAAGCUUAAAAUCUCCAUACGAGUUUCGUGUGGCGAAUUGUAGUCUAUAGAGGCGCUGUCAGUGCGGCUGUUUGGGACAAGUCUCUUGGAAAAGAGCAGCAUGGAGGGUGAUACUCCCGUUCCUGCCUGAGCAGCUUGCGCGUACGACACGUUUUCUUUGAGUCGCGUUGUUUGGGAAUGCAGCGCAAAGUGGGUGGUAAAUUCCAUCUAAAGCUAAAUAUUGGUGCGAGACCGAUAGCGAACAAGUACCGUGAGGGAAAGAUGAAAAGAACUUUGAAAAGAGAGUUAAAGAGUACCUGAAACUGCUGAAAGGGAACCGAAUCGUUUCCAGUGUCUAUAAUCCGUAGCAUAUUUCAUCGGCGAGUGGAUGUGUGCAGUGUUAAUGGCAGCGGCUUGCUGCGCCUUGCAUUGUUCUACGUUUACUUGCUGGUGCCCUGUGUUGCGGUGGGACGUCAAAGUCAGUUCGUAUACUGCGGGAAAUGGUCGUCGAGGAGGUAGGUGCAUUAGCACUGUUAUAUCUCGGCUGACUAGUCGUCGUGGUUGGGACUGAGGUGCCUACAAUGUGCUUUAAAGUCUUGCGGAUGCUCAUUUGGCCGACUGUUUGGAUAGCUUGCUAUGUCUGCGGUUUGGUUGGGUGAUUGUGUUUGUAAGUAACUUUUGCCGUUCGGGACUUUGACGA
rnacentral:rRNA from 1 species